GAUGAACGCUGGCGGCGUGCCUAAUACAUGCAAGUCGAGCGAACAGACGAGGAGCUUGCUCCUCUGACGUUAGCGGCGGACGGGUGAGUAACACGUGGAUAACCUACCUAUAAGACUGGGAUAACUUCGGGAAACCGGAGCUAAUACCGGAUAAUAUAUUGAACCGCAUGGUUCAUUAUUGAAAGACGGUUUUGCUGUCACUUAUAGAUGGAUCCGCGCCGCAUUAGCUAGUUGGUAAGGUAACGGCUUACCAAGGCAACGAUGCGUAGCCGACCUGAGAGGGUGAUCGGCCACACUGGAACUGAGACACGGUCCAGACUCCUACGGGAGGCAGCAGUAGGGAAUCUUCCGCAAUGGGCGAAAGCCUGACGGAGCAACGCCGCGUGAGUGAUGAAGGUCUUCGGAUCGUAAAACUCUGUUAUUAGGGAAGAACAAAUGUGUAAGUAACUAUGCACGUCGUGACGGUACCUAAUCAGAAAGCCACGGCUAACUACGUG
rnacentral:rRNA from 1 species